GAGAGCACAGUACGAUGAAAGUUGUAAGCUGUGUUCGGGGGGGAGUUAUUGUCUAUCGUUGGCCUCUAUGGUAGAACCCGUCGGGGAGGCCUGAGAGGCGGUGGUUUACCCUGC
rnacentral:ncRNA from 1 species